GAAGAGAAUAGGGAAGAAAAGGAAAUGAGCAUCUUGUCACAUUUCUAAGAACAGACAAAUCUGUUAAGCAUCAUACAGGGAAGAGAAUAUACAGCGUGGUUCCUUCCAUUCCAGGUGCGGCUCUGAAGAACAUACAAGGGGCAGAACCCCUUCGCAAAACCUCUUGGCCUGUUUUACUUGGAAGCUGCUGCCGCAGGCAACUCUAGCAGAAAAACUGGCAAUAGGAACUGGAACCAGUGUUUUGAUCUCAGCAGGAGUCAGAUUCCAUUGUAGAGCCAUGAGCCAAGCGAACACCAAAUUUCAUCGCACUGGUAUGCCAUAUACAGAACUGCAUAAUACUAAGUCGUCCUUACUGCAACUGAGAAUCUUUUUCCUCCGCAGGGACAUUCUUUGUCCCUCUAAUCAAGAAUUUAAUGCUGGGAAAGGGUCUGUAGGAAUGCGAACAAGAGCCUUCACUUCAUGAAGUUGCAAGAGUUCCUUCAUACACAGGAAAAAAAAAGUGACCUUUGAAAGACCUUGAACACAGAAGAAGCACUUGGCAAGGCAUCUGCUUGUUAGCUAACAGGCACAAAAAUAAAGACACAAAGACUUCAGCUGACCACAGGAAUUCAAAUGAGCAAGGCUGCUCAGCCCUUCUAGCCAGCUCAGGGGCCUCCUUCUCUUGUCAGGAAAAUCACUGGGAACACGAGCACUGCCAAGUAGCACCUGCACCACUAAUAAAAAAAACAGUGCACAAGAGUGGCGGGGGGAACAAAGAAG